UACGUAGGGGGCUAGCGUUGUCCGGAAUCAUUGGGCGUAAAGCGCGUGUAGGCGGUCCGGUAAGUCCGCUGUGAAAGUCGGGGGCUCAACCCUCGAAUGCCGGUGGAUACUGUCGGGCUAGAGUGCGGAAGAGGCGAGUGGAAUUCCAGGUGUAGCGGUAGAAUGCGUAGAGAUCUGGAAGAACACCGGUGGCGAAGGCGGUGGUCUGGGCCGUUACUGACGCUGAGGAGCGAAAGCCAGGGGAGCGAACGGG
rnacentral:rRNA from 1 species